AUUGAUAUUGUGAAUGAGUGCAGGAAGCUCUAUCUGACUGAAGCCCCCGGGAUAUUUAUGACACUCCACAUCAUGGCUUUUGAGAUGCUGGAGUUACAAUUCUCUUUAAGAAUGUUGUAUCAUUCGCAUUUUUGCCUGAAAAUGCAAUUAGAUCAAAUAUCAUGAACCCUUAUAUUUUGUUUUUCUGCAUCAUGACCCUUCCUAACGUCACUGACCGGGCUAAAUUUUGUUUACAAUUUUGGCAUUGUGCGACUUCAGGUAUGUCUCCUGUAACACACAAUCUCAGCAUCCACAUGAAGAUAGUGAGUAUUAGUGCUAUUGUGUAAUUUAUAAUGUUUUCAGAACCAAGAAUUGAUAAAGUUCAUGAUUCAUUAUUCGGAUCCGUGAUUGAAUUACGGUUGAAUCUUCGUUGUCAUAAUUAUAUAAUUUUUAUAUUUGAUAUAUUAAAUUAACUUAUAUAAAUAUAUUAAUAUUUUAAAAUUUAUUAAAUAGAAAAUGUAUAAUAUUUACGUAUGAAGAUAUGUUUAAGAUAAAAAAAAAAAAAUCAUAGUAUUUGAUUUGAUUUUUUUGUCUCUGUAUUUUAUUAUUUUCAUAAUUAUUAUUAUAAAAAUAAGUAUGAAUAUAAAUAUUUAUAUUUGUUCAAAAACUUUUAUACGGAAAGUUUAAGGGCAUAUGAAGAAACCCAUUAAACUAUGAAAUGAGACGUUACUGAUUUCUGUUACACAUCCACACAGGAAUCCCUGCAAUGAAGAAUACCAAACGCUCAUAUUUGGAAAAAAAAUGACGUCGUUUCAACAUUUUUGAAGCAUUUUUAUUUUCUUUUUCAAGCUUGGGACAUUUUCUCCGUUUGGUUGCUGAGAAAAAUGGACCCAUUUCCAUCCAGUGUUUUGUUCGGUUCCAUUAUUUUCCCGAGAACCAAACAGAGAAAAGAUGAUAGCUUUACCGGAUCCGGCGAACCCGAUAACGAAAGACAGCGGGGGGCGAGCGUAAUCGAUGACGAGUUUGAAAGGCUUGGUUUUGGGGGGUGAGAAGAAAUGAUCGAGAGUCCAUUCGAGAGCGUAGAAGCUGUGAGAGCUGUCAUCGAUGUCGAUCACUAGCACAGGUCUCUCUGUGGUCUCUAUGGAAGAAAGCAAAAAUGCUUGAAAAGGACUCGUUCCCAAAAACGACGGCGUUUUAAGAAUCGCUGAACAUUGAUCGUCUCUAGGAGACUGGUUUCCGUAUUUUAAGUUGCGCCCCACGUGAUGUUUGGUAAGUUUCCGAAUAUAUGGGGAGGUUGUAGGAUUUGAUUAGGAUUUAGUAACUUUCCAAAUUGAAAGACUCGUCUCCCAGGGAACUCAUCUAUAUAUAAGCCUCUCCUGCCAUACCAACGAGAACAACAAACCAUUUGUAACUUUUCCAAAUUGAAAGACUCGUCCCCCAAGUUUCCGAAUAUAUGGGGAGGUUGUACGAUUUGAUUAGGAUUUAGUAACUUUCCAAAUUGAAAGACUCGUCUCUCAAGGACCUCAUCUCUAUAUAAGCUCUCUCCUGCCAUACCAACGAGAACAAGAAACCAUUUGUAACUUUUCCAAAUUGAAAGACCUCUCCGGGCCAUCAUCUUGCCAUACCAAGAAGAGCAAGAAACCACUUCCUUCCUAACCAAGAUCAAGAAACCCCCGAAGCUAUAUACUUUGCGCAUUCGCUUCAAUGGAUUCUGUGGUAAAAGAUGAGAAGAAACACGAUCAGCGUCUUGAAGAAACGAUGAAGAUAUUUGAAGAUGGAGGUGAUCAACGUCUCCAAAAAGAUAAUCAAGAUCAAGAAGCGGCCACCACGAUGCCAUGAUGAUGAUGAUGAUGAUGAGGGGGGAAGUGUUCAGGAGAAAAAGAAGCAGAGAUGAUCAAUGUCUUCAAAAAACGAUCAAGAUCAAGAAGCGGCCACCAUGGUGCCAUGACAAUGACGACGACGAUGAUGAUGAGGGGGGUGUGUUUAGGAGAAAAAGAAGCUGAAGAUGAAUAAGAUAAUGGAUAAGGCAAGGUGCUCGUCUCCCCAUGCAACGCCAGAGCUCCCUGUCAUCCUCAGGAAUCGGAUCAGGGCUCUAGGAGGUUCUGAUGUCACUUUUGUAAUCCAGAAGCCUCUCUUCAAGACUGAUGUGAGUUCCGGUCACAACCGUCUGUCCAUACCGUCGAACCAUAUACAACAAAGUUUCCUCACACCUGAAGAGAGCGAGAGGUUGAACUCGGAAGGAAACGGAAAAAAAAUGUGCAGAUAUGAAAGUGAUGUUGAUUAAGCCCUCCCUUCAUCGGGAAACCAUCAGUCUGAGGAAGUGGAACAUGAAGAAAGCUUCCGGAAAUUCUACCUCAAUGUAUGUGUUGGUGACUAAUCGGAAAUCGGUUACGGAAAGGAAUAGCAUGAAGGAAGAUGAAACGGUGCAGCUUUGGUCUUUUUGAAUCAAGUCCAAGUUGGGUUUCGCUCUUGUAAAGAGAAGACUACAAGAUGAUCCUAGGAAUCAUUCAUUAAGGGGCAUCCUGGAUAGCUGAUAUGGAUAUCAGGGACAGACAGGGUAGGUGUAUUUACUAUUUAGUAGAAGAUGGUAAACCUCCCUGGAUAAUAAUUGUCACUAAAUUGAUUUUCCUUUUUUUUUUUUUUUUUUUCCGAUUACGUAGAAUUUUAAUUUUGAUUGAAUGUUAAUAGAAACAUUGUCAUUCCCUUCUAUAUCCCUGGGUAGCACAAUAUGAUUGAAUAAUGAUCAUGUACUAAAAAGAUUAGCAAGAAGCUGUGGUGGACAGACCGGCAAGAGCAAGGAUGAUCUACUAAGUUACGAAUCUUUAACAGAAAAUCAUUCAUUCCUAAAGUCUCUUUCUUAAUUUUCUGAAGUUGAGUCUUGUAUUGAUUUACCUUGGCUUGAUUUUGUGCCACAGUAUUGUUGCAGUGUUUUCCAAAUCUGAGUUGUUGUAUCACAAUUAACCAUUCUAGAAAGAAUUGUUUCAGUCAUUGAUGACAAAAUCCAAGAUACAAGAAGUUGAUCUUGUUGUUUCCAAUCCAGAAAAUCUGGAUUUGUCCAUUCUAGAAAGAAUUUACUCAUGGAGCUAAUCAAUCAACUUUUGUACUUCUAUGUCAUUGCUUCUUGUUACUAAAAUAUCAUCAGCAUAGACUAAGAUAAAAAAAACCGUGAAAUCACCUUUUUAAAUAAAAUUGCAAAAUUACUUUUUUAGAUAAAUAUUUCCUUUUAAUAAAAAUUGCAAUUUAAAAAAAAAAUAAAAGUUUUAAAAAUCUUUAAAUUGACUUACAACAUUACUUUUGUAAAAACCCAUUUUUUAAUUAUUAUUAUUAUUUUAAAAAAAAUCACAUUUUCUAUAUAAAAGUUAUGUGGAAACAUUCUUUUACAAAUAAAAUAAUAAACUUGACAUCCAUCCUCCAACUUAAGAGAGUGUAUUAAAAAAUUAUUGCAACGCUUAUGUAGCGUAAAGCGUUGUAUAUUUCCUAAAAAAUUAAAAAUUAUUGCAAUAAGUAAAAAAUGUUUCAACUCUCUAAAAGCUAGUUUACAUUAUCAUUUUACUUUUAUUUUAUUAGGUAGAUGAUAAAAUUUAUAGUGGGGUUUUUAUCUACUCAUGCCUUAAUUUAUUACUUAAAUUUUCUUAAGUGAUAUUAAUCUUAAAAUAUAAUCAAAUAUCAAAUAAUUUUUUAUUAAUAUUUUUCAUUAAAAAAAUUGAAAAAAAAAACAACUAUAUUAUAUAAAAAUUCAUAUAUUUGUCGCAUGGGUUUCUCUAUCCAUUUUUAAAAAACUUCUAAUAGAAUGUCUUAUUUGUUAUUAAUAAUUUAGUUUUAACAUUGUUGAAAAAAUUAGGGUCUAAAUUUAACAUGGUGGAAGUAUGAAUUAAUGUAUAAGUUAUUCUAUUUAUUUAUUAAAUAGAAAAGGAGUGGAGUUUGGCAAGUGAAUGUUUUAGUACUUGUAUGGGCAAAUAUUGGGUUGGUUAAGAGGAAAUAAAAUUUUGGAGAAUAUAUUUAGAAAUAGGGUAUAUAAGUAUAUAUAAAACUCCUCAUAUAAAAUAUGAAUUUUUAAAUAUAAAAAUAAAAAUAACCUUCAUAAAGGUUUUUUUUUUAUGCCCGUAUCACCGUAGAGAACCUUAUGAAAAAUGGGGGGAAGGACAAAUAAAAACAAGGGACGCUAAUGUGUAAUUGAGGUUUAAUUUUCAAAAAGUGAAUUAUUUUUAUGAAUAGUCUUAGUCUUUUUGUCUAAAUAUUUUAAUAAAAAAAUUUAAAUUUAAUAAAACAAAUUGACACAUUUCUUCAUUAAAAAAAAAAAAAAAGAUUUUAAAGCUACUUUAUACUUAUUCUUUUGUUUCCUCUUAUUUUGUAGAGCAUGAGACUAAAAAUAGUUACCAAUUAAAAUAAGUCUAGAUGUCACCUACACUUCAAUUUAAAGCUACUUUAAAUCUUUUUUCAGUCCUUGAAUUAAAAGUGAAGAAAAUAAAAAGGAAAUAUAGAAUGGAAUAAUUAAUUAUUUAUAAAAAAAAUCGAGAAAAAAAGUCAAUGCCUAAAGGGGCAUUGGGAAAAAAAAAUUAUUUUUUGAAAUCUCUCAUUGAGGAUUUGGAUUUGGCUUAACUCUAUUCAAAUAUUUUCUAUUUUUAUUUUUAAAAAUUAAAAAAAUAAUUACAAUUUUCAUAUAAAAAUAAUAAACCUUUUUACAAAAAUUCUAACCGAGCUUAUAUCCUUAAAAUAUUGAAACAAUGAUAAAUCACAUUAGCACAAAAAACAAUACUCUAUUUACAAAAAUAAAAAAUAAAAUAAAAUACAAACAGAAGGGAUAAUUGAACUUGUUUAAAUUUUAAAAGAAAUAGAAUUUGGAGGCCAACGGUCCAAGUUUCCGAAUAUUUGGGGAGGUUGUAGGAUCUGAUUAGGAUUUAGUAACCUUCCAAAUUCAAAGACUCGUCCCCCAAAUUUCCCAAUAUAUGGGGAGGUUGUAAGAUUUGAUCAGGACUUAGUAACUUUCCAAAUUGAAAGACUCGUCUCCCAGGGAACUCAUCUAUAUAUAAGCCUCUCCUGCCAUACCAACGAGAACAACAAACCAUUCGUAACUUUUCCAAAUUGAAAGACUUCUCUCUGGGUCAUCAUCUUGCCAUCCCAAGAAGACCAAGAAACCACUUCCUUCCUUACCAAGAACAAGAAACCACCGAAGCUAUAUAGUUUGCGCAUUCUGUGAUCGAAGAGCUACAAUGGAUUCUGUUGUAGAAGAUGAGAAGAAACACGAUCAGGUUCUCGAAGAAACGACCAACAAAUUUGAAGAUGAAGGUGAUCAGGCUCUUCAAGAAACGAUCGACAAAUUUGAAGAUGACGGUGAUCAGUAUCCUCAAGAAUCGAUCAGGAUCAAGAAGCGACCACCACGGUGCCAUGAUGAUGAUGAGGGCGGGUGUGUUCAGGAGAAAAAGAAGCGAAUGAUGAAGAAGAUGAUGGAGAAGGCAAGGUACCCAUCUCCCCAUGCAACGCCGGAGCUCCCUGUCAUCCUCAGGAAUCGGAUCAGGGCUCUGGGGGGUUCUGAUGUCACUUUUGUAAUCCAGAAGCCUCUCUUCAAGACUGAUGUGAGUUCCGGUCACAACCGUCUGUCCAUACCGUUGAACCAGGUACAACAAAGUUUCCUCACACCUGAAGAGACCGAGAGGUUGAACUCGGGGGGAAACGGAAAAAAAUGUGCAGCUAUGGAAGUGAUGUUGAUUGAGCCCUCCCUUCAUCGGGAAACCAUCAGUCUGAGGAAGUGGAACAUGAAGAAAGCUUCCGGAAAUUCUACCUCAAUGUAUGUGUUGGUGACUAAUUGGAAAUCGGUUACGGAAAGGAAUAGCAUGAAGGAAGAUGAAACGGUGCAGCUCUGGUCUUUUCGAAUCAAGUCCAAGUUGGGUUUCGCUCUUGUAAAGAGAAGACUACAAGAUGAUCCUAGGAAUCGUUCAUUAAGGGGCAUCCUGGAUAGCUGAUAUGGAUAUCAGGGCAGGGGAGGUGUAUUUACUAUUUAGUAGAAGAUGAUAAACCUCCCUAGAUAAUGAUUGUCACUAAGUUGAUUUUCCCUUUUUUUUUUGUAUUUGAUUUUUUCUGAUUGUGUAGAAUUUUAAUUUUGAUUGAAUUUUAAUUGUGAAAAUAAUUAAUUCAAAUUCAGUCAUUCUGUUUUUUUUUUCCAUUCUUUGUUUUCCCCAUAGUUUCUAUAAACCAAAGGGUUAGAAUGUUGUCCUUUUGAGUUUCUUUUACUUGAGAUAGUCUAAUACAUAUGAAGCACAUGCACUAAAAAGUAGGGAUCUAACACUAUUUGAAACUGGUAUGAGAGAAAGGCAGAAAGAUGAAAUCAAAAUUAAGGCUUAUCCGGGGGCUGCUACUCUGGGCCAUCCAAUUCCUCUUCUUUCUUUUGCUGCUGAUCUCACAUUGGGAGCAGUUCCUUCUCGUUAGGGUCAUCAAAUGAGAGAUGGUCCUCCGACUCCAAGAAGAAAUAGAUAUUAAACUACCAAAUCCACAUUAUUGAAACCUGCUUAGUGAGGCUGCAACAUAAGGACUGCAAUUAGUGUGCAGAAAAAGGAGAGUGCUUAGUUUGAUUAUAAGGACUUGAAGGACACAACAAAGUGUGUGGAGUUUGAGCUGUUCUUGCUGAAACUUUCUCCAGAUGGUUUGAGUGUCUUUUCUGAAGUCUUCAGAUUUUUCACCCUUGCUGUAACUAAUGAUACACAACCUGCAAGUUUCUGCAAUAAUGCUAUCUUCAGUUCAUUCGUCUUAGAAUAGUAGAGCUAGAUUUGCUUGAGACCCCACUUGGGAAUUUGGUACUAGGUCAGGACCAAUUUUGAGAAUGAAUAAAACCAACAAUUUCUAUCCAGGUACUCUGCAACAAAAUCAGGCUCAAUAUGAACCAAUAAGAUUAGCAAGAAGCUGUGGUGGACAGAGUGUUCUGCUCCAGCAUGUGAGCACAAUUAAACUUUCUUUACUAUUUUUAUUGUUUUUGACAUUUCUCUGGCUAUUCUUGCAUGACUGAUCUGAUUCUAUUGCUCUUAAUUUACUCAUGGAGCUUAUCAAUCAACUUUUGUUAUUGCUUCUUGUUACUAAAAUAUCAUCAACAUAGACUAAGAUAAAGGUAGAAUGUUGUAGAGUGAUGCUUAAUAAGAGAGAUUGAUCUGACUUUGUUGACUUGAAUCCAAGCAUGAGUAGAGCUUUAUACAAUUUUUCAAACUAAGCCCUUAGAGUUUGUCUGAGACCAUAAAGGAAUUUGUGCAAAUGACAAACCAUUGUAGGUUGAUUGGGAUCUUGAAAACCAUAUGGCUGCUGGAUAUGCACUUCUUGCAAAUCUCCAUUGAGAAAUGCAUUAUUAACAUCCAAUUGUUUAACCACCCAAUUUCUUGCUGGUGUAAUUGAGACAAUUACUCUGAUGGUAGUUGGUUUCAUUACAGGACUAAACAUUUCAUUAAAGUCAAAGCCUGCAACUUGAUGCAAGCCUUUAGCUACCAACCUAGCUUUGUACUUGUUAACAGUGUUAUUAGGAUUCUCUUUAAUUUUGAAAACCCACUUGCAUCAUAUUUCUUUUCUGCCUUGUGGUAAUGAAACUAAUGACCAAGUUCCAUUCCUCAUUAGUGCAAGAUGCUCAUCUCUCAUUGUUGNNNNNNNNNNNNNNNNNNNNNNNNNNNNNNNNNNNNNNNNNNNNNNNNNNNNNNNNNNNNNNNNNNNNNNNNNNNNNNNNNNNNNNNNNNNNNNNNNNNNAUCUCUCAUUGUUGCAGCCUAAUUUUCAUUCUAUAGAGCUUCAUCAACAAAUUCAAGUUGUACAACAGCAAUAUAGACUUUAGGCUUGUAAAUGCCAACCUUGGAUCUUGUAAUCAUGUUGUGUGAAUUUGUGAUAUGCAACCUGUCCUUAUUAGGUAAAACUGGAUCAAACAAGUCAGCAGCACCAACACAAGGGGCUAAAUUAGACUUAGGAACACCAAUAGGUAUAGCAGAGUCUAGAGAUUCAGCUUGAUGACCAAGAGUUUCUUGAAAAUUUGGUUGAAAGCUGGAAGAUGAAGAAGUGAACUUGGAUGGUUUUAUGGAAGAAGAUGUAAAAAUUGGAAGUUGGGUUGGUGUGUUAUGUUGAGUAAAAGCAGAGGUAGCAUAGGGUUCAAUAUAAUUCUUUUUAGCAAAAGGGGGGACUUCUCAUUAAAGCUGACAUCCUUGAAGAUAAAAAUUCUGCCCGAAGCAUCUAAACACUUGUAACCCUUGUGAUUGAUGUUAUAGUUAAGAAAGGUACAUUUAGUGGAACAAAGGGCAAGUUUAUGAUGAUUAUAGGGUUGAGUAUUAGGAUAGCAUGCACAUCCAAUUACCUUGAGAGACUUAUAAUCUGGCACAAUAUGAAACAAUUUUUCUAGGGGAGAUUUAUUGUUAAGAAGAGGUGUGGGCAGCCUAUUGAGUAGGAAAGCAGAGGCUCUAAAUGCCUCGUCCCAAUAUUUUAAAGGCUUGGAUGAUUAAGCUAAAAGAGUUGAGCCAUUUUCAAUAAUGUGCAUAUCUUUUCUCUCAGCUACACCAUUAUGUUGGUGUGUGUGUGAGGGCAAGAAGUGUGAUGAACAAUUCUACAACAUAGAAGAUAAUCGGUAAAUGCUCUAUACUUCCCCCCACCCCAAUCAAUUUGGAUUGCCUUGAUCUUAUAACCAAGUUGCAAUUCAACUUAAGUUUUAAAAUGAAUGAAGGUUUGCAAGGCAUCAGAUUUGUUCCUUAGCAUAUAGAUCCAAGUGAAUCUAGAGAAUUCAUCAAUGAAGUGAAUGUAGUAUUUAUAACCACUAGAUGACUGAUGCGGUGUAGGACCCCUAGAUCAGAAUGUACAAGUUUUAGUGGUUUAGUAUAGAUUAUUUCAGAAGCUGAAAAAGGAAAUUUAUGAAUCUUCCCAAAACAGCAAGAUGAACAGAAAGAAGUAUAGUUUUAUGUAUAUGACAGAGGUUACAUUUGGACAAAACAAACCAUACAAUAUUAUCAUAAGUGUGGCCUAUUAUGCCAUACACUGCAAUCAGAAACUGAAGAAUAGGCUGUAGGUUGUACAAAAAAAGAACAAGCUGUAAGUUGUGGCAUAGAAGAAAGAAGGUCUGAAUGACUAGUAGAAAUAUUGGAAGAAGGAUGAGAUUGUCACUUGUUCUGAAGAUUCAGUUGUGUCUGAUCAAAAGCAUGUAGGCCAUCUUGAAAUCUUCCUUUUAGUAGAAUGGAUUUGGUAUCCUAAUCUUUCACAAAGCAAAAAUGAGGACGAAAUUCAAAGAAGACAUGAUUAUCAAAAGCAAAUUUGGAGACACUAAGCAAGUUCUUGGUAAUUGCAGGAACAUGUAAAAGAUGUUGAAGGGACAAUAGUUUGGAAUUGUAAGGAGAAAAGAAACUGGAUUGACCAUCAUGUUUAAUAGCUAGACCCUUACCAUCACCCAUGUGAACCUUAUUGUUACCAAGAAAAUCAGUUUUUGUUAUCAAGUUCCUUGCAUCUGUUGUAACAUGAUUGGAAGCUUCAGAAUCAGGAUACCAAUUGGUAUCACAAACUGUUCCAGGUGUGGCAAGAAUGGUUGUCAUAGGAGAGUGUGAAUUUGAUGUAUUCUAAAAAUGGCCUUAAAACUGAGAUGAACCAAUGAACGUUUGAUCAAACCUAUAAAAGCAUUGUACAUAGCUGACAUUGAGGUUUUUUGUUAUUCUAAGAGCCACGACCACCAUAUUGACUACCAUGUCUUCCUCGACCACCAAAUUGACCAUUACCUCUUCCUCUUUUACAGUUGUGACUAUUCUUAUUGAAAGUGAAGUUGAGAUUUCCACGAAAACUGCUAGGACUAGAAAAGAAACCUUGGCCUUGGCCAUAUUGAGAGUCAAAACCUCCAAAUGGAUUAUUGCUGAAAUCACCAAACUUCUUCUUUCCAGUGUUCCAAGACUACCAGAAUUAGUAUUCAUAUGUGCAACAUUAACAAUUGCUGAGUCCGACCUCUGUUAAUUCUUUUUAAUCCGAGCUUCUUGUGAAAGAAGAAAAGAUUCAACCUCAUCUAUUGUAUAUGAAUCUAUGUUUGAAUUAAUUGAUGUAAUGAAUGUGUCAUAUUCUGAGGGUAAAGCCUCAAAUAUAGCAUCAAUGUAAUCUUUUGGUGAGAGUUCAUGACCAACAAGAGCUGGAUGAUCUACUAAGCUACGAAUCUUUAACAGAAAAUCAUUCAUUCCUAAAGACUCUUUCUUAAUUUUCUGAAGUUGAGUCUUGCAUUGAUUUACCUUGGCUUGAUUUUGUGCCACAGUUCCUACGACCUUCUCUCGCUGGUCUUGGACCACCACGCUCAGCAGGGCAAUCACCAGCUUCGUUUCCAGGACAUGGCUACAGAUAUUUUAGGUGGGUGAUAGCUUCUCUCUUAUGGCCAUAUAAUGUUGAAUCAAAUGGACUCUUUAUCCAUCAUCUAUUGUAUUAAAUAUUAUUGAAAUACUCCUUGAAAUUGAUAUUAUGGUUCAUGUAAGUAUGUAACUGGAAAAAGCAUUACUGAAAUUUGAUAGGUUCAGGACGGGGAAGGUAUUUAGUGGGUCCAAUUCAAUUUGGUCAUGUUAUGCUACAGUCAUCCCCUGUAUUCUCGUUCUGAGGUUGGGCAUGUUCUUUCAUUGAAGAUUUUCAUCACAACUCAAAUUAUCUGGAAUGAUUUCCUUCUUGCGUUUUGGGGGCAGUUUAUUUACUUGCUGUCAAGACCAAAUGGGAGCAUGCAGCUUUGCCAAUUUGUGAUUAUUUCAGGGUGCAAAUUCCGUCCUUCCACUCCUUAAGGCACAUUAACCUUGUCUCUCAAAUCCUCUGCCUCUCCUACACUGCUUCCCACUGCUGGUUCCAUAUACAUCGGUAAGCAAUCACAUCACGAUUAAAUGUGAUGAGUUAUGCUAGAUACUUGUUUCACCCAUUUCCCUUAAAAAUAAACACGAGUGGAUAUUUAAAUAAAAAACACAAUAUAAUUUGUAUUAAAGCCAAGAUGAGAGAAGCUUGUGGAAACAAGUGAGUUGUGAUUAUUCUAUUCAAAUUUACUUCAAAAUUGUAUUUCCUCCUUCUCUGUUUUUCUUUUGGUGAAAUGAAUUUACAAUUUAUAAUUCAAUAAGUAUUUUUUAUUUUUUAUCUAUAAACUCAAAUAUCCUUUCUUGCUCCAUCCGCCUGCUUAGCUUUAAAUUGUCUUCAUCAUAUUCCAUUUCAGAGUGUUGAUAAUGGCCAAGCCCCUGUCAUAGACUUCGAAUUUUGUUGUAGUAAGCUGUCAUUGAAGAUUCCCUUUGCUUUGUCUAAUGGAUCAUAUUUUGCAAACCAUAAAUCUGGGUAAUAUUCCGCAGAUUUGAAUACAUUUAAAUCACCUCAUCUCAAACUUCCUUGGCUGUUGAGAGAAACAAGCAAGUCCUGCUGGUUUCUGAUUGCAUAGAAUUCAGCAACCAAGACAUGAUCUUGGAGUUUGCUACAUACCAUCAUUUGAAAUCUGGAUCCACAGAUUUUGGUUCCUUCACAGUAGUGAGAAAUCACCCCAUUUUGCCUCUACUUUUGCUGAACAAAUUUAUGGAUUGAGAUCACUCUAGGAAGUUUUGUCCAUUGAGUUUCUCUGGUAAUUUGAAGAGUAGAGUUGUCACCAUGAGCGAAAGUUCAUGAUUGAUCCAUGGCCUUCACUAAUUGACUAUUUUGAGACACUUCCUGACAUCGUUCAAGUGAAAGAAGGUUCGACAAAGGGCAAAAACAAGAAAAAGAUCUAAGACUUGGCAAUGAAGGCCAAUGAGAACUUUAUACCAAUUUAGGUUUCAACAAUGAAUGCUGAAAGAAGUUAGUGACCUGAUACCAUGUUGGAGAAAUUAAAAAUUAGAGUACUUUUUCUUACCAAUUUCAACAAUCACAUUUGUAUUUAUAUAAAGUCAGUCAUAAACAAGAAAAAAGAAAGUAGUCUAUUGAAGUUAAUCUCCUGAUGUUGGAUAAUUGGUAUGUGGAAGGUAGUUGUGACCAUUGGAAUGGAAGAAGGCUCAUUAGGGGAUUAUAUCAUUAGGAGUUAGAAAUGGUAGAAUCCUUUUUCACUUGUCUCCAAAAUGUGGUUGUGCAUGUAUGUAAUGAGGAUAAUUUAACUUGAAAAUAUGCUAAUGAUGGAAGACUACAGGGUAUUGAGUGCAUAUUGUAAUCUCCCUUUCUCGUAUAGAAAGGUCUGGGGUUCACCUGCCUGCAUAUUCUUUUGUUUGGGAAAUGAUUCUUACUUAAUGCAAAAGAGAAGGGCUUUGGUCCAGUAGUGUUGUUAGGUAAACAGGAAGAAGAAUGGGCCAAGCACUUAUCCAUUUUAUGAAGGUAUAGAGUUCAUGGUCUUUUAUCAUUCUCAACUUUAGGUAUUAUUUGGGUGCUUCUUGAUACAAUUAAGAAUACCUUAACUAGUUGGCAUGCAGGGAUUGUGAGGAAGGAGAAAAAUGAAAGUAUGGCCUUAUAGCUCCAUUAUGUUUAUUUUGGUGUAUGUGGAAAAAAUGAAAUAGAAGGUCUUUAAUGGCAUAGAUUGGUUUGAAUUGUAGGUGAAAAAUGUUUGUAUGGAUUCUUUAGUUGAAUGGACUGGAAGAUGAUUAGGAGAUGAAAGACUUCCUUUUAUAGACUUCAUUGAUGUUCUGGGUAGUAAAGGAGUGAAUGAUAUCUUUCAUUCUGUUUUCGUUUGUCUUCUUGGUCUGUGUAUAUAACAUGUGUCCAAGGGUUGACCCACUCCUUAAGUGCUUAUUGUUUAAAAUUUUACAUAUCAAAAAGAAAAAAAAAAAAAAAAAGAAUUUGGGCUAGAUUUUUGUCUUUGCCUGCUUUUUCCUACUCUUAUAAACAACUGUUUAUUGUUCUACAGCCUAAAAAGUCGUGAGCCUGAAUUCCUUGUGGCCACACCUGAGAGACUUUUGGAGCUUAUUUCCUUGAAGGCCAUUGACAUAUCUGGUGUCUCCUUAUUGGUAAGCAUUUUACCCUUUUCAUAACUACAAGUUUCUUAUCUUGCUUGCUUUUAAUUCUCAUAAAUAUAUUUGACUUAUUUCUUUUACGAUUUACAUUUUCAGUUGUGCCUAUUAUUUUGGAGUCUUGACAUUUAAAAGGGCAGACUUAAAUAAUGUAUAGGCCAACAUAUUUCACUUGUUUAAUGGACAUUUUGAUUUAAGAGGAAACUACAAUAAAGUGCAUAUCAAAAUAUUUCACUUUUGUGUUACAGAUUCUGAAUUUGUUAUCUACCCUUAGUUCUCAUAAAAAUAACAAGAGGAAUAUAGGACUUACCGUUUAUGAAGGUCCUCUGAUGCUUUCUUGCAAAUUUGUCCUUGGUUGUUGAUUAUCUGUUUAUUCUAUUAUACUGGUACUGACCAUUAAUGUCUGAUCAUGCUUUUGAAUAUCAUAAAUAUACAAUUUACUCUUUGAACAUCAUUGACAUAUAUUUAGGUCUAUCUGCUUCUUAAGAUGUUACGAAGAAUUUUAUAGAUCUUUAUCUGGGAAGCUCCUGUUAUUUACUACAUCAAGUUUUCGUUAUGGAUGGACAUGAUUCACGUCACUACAUUUCCUAGGCUCACCUAGAUAACUACUUCUCAUUUUAAUAUGUUCUGAUGUAGGACAACCCUAGGAUGGUUGCCUACACUCAAGGGUAGGUGGACUAGGGUUUUAUUUUUUAGGGUAUAAGGAGAGGAACAAAGAAUAAAUUUUAUGGUAGAGAAAAUUAUAAGAUAAGAAAUAGAGAGAAAGAUGGAAAACCUUAGAGUUUCACUAAGGCCCUCUAGGAGUCUCACCUAGAAGAAAAUCAAUGGAGUCUCACCAUUGAGAGUUGCAACCUUGCAAUGAAAGAAAAUAUAUUAUUAUUCAUAUCAAUUCAUCUCUUUGAUUUACAUUGAUUAGCCUAUUUAUAGGCUUCUCUAAGAAAUCCAAAGUCUAUUAUGACUCUAAUAAUCUAUUAUAAUUCUAAUUCUAAUUAUAACAUCCAAAAUCUACUAGGACUCUAAUAACCUAUCAUGACUUAAAUUCUAAUUAUAUUAUAACUUAACUAGCUAAUCCAAAUUAGACUCCAACAAAUAUUAAUCCUACUUUAAUUACAACUAAUACUAAUUCCCUUUCUUGAUAUAUAUCUUGAAGAUUCAUCCUCAUCAUGUGCAUUAGUCCUUUUCCAGUGAUUUGUCUGAAAUAUGAGCUAUUAGAUGGCUGUUAGUUGGCAUCUUUAAUAUUAGUGCUCACAUUUUUCAUAGGUUUGUUACUUUUGGCAUCAUUACUUUCUGAUUCAUUUUUGACAUUUAAAUAGGUUGUUGAUGGACUGGACACUCUCUGUAAAGGAGGCUACCUUGAUAUGAUUAAAUCUAUUAGGCAGUCAAUUUCUCGAAAUCCCCAUGCAGUUGUUUUCAGUGAACGCUCAAGCUGUACCUCUGUUCCAGGUGUAGAAGAUCUCCUUAGAGGAUCAUACUGUAGAUUACCUCUUAAAGGUUCAAUUAAUAAUCAAAGUGCUUGCAUUGCUCAGUCUAUACAUGCGUGAAGAAAAACUACUAAAGGUAUGCUUAUCACUUGGUUUUUAUGCAAAGGACACUCUCUGUAAAGGAGGCUACCUUGAUAUGAUUAAAUCUAAAGUCAUAUUCUAAAAUUAUAUAGUAUUAAAGAGGCAAUUGUGAUAGGCUUGUUGAUGGGCUGAGCCCAAAGUAACGAGAGAGCGCUUGUUUUUUGUUUUCUCUUCUUUUCUGUUUGCCCGUUGGUGCCUAUCAUAUACAAUGUAUGUAUUUUGGUGUGUCAUUUCUUAGGUGUUAUUAAUAUAUUUUCUAAUAUUGCCUGUAAAAUAGUAAUAAUAAUAAUGGAAUCAUGCAAGUUUGAGAUACUAGAAGCCAUCCUAUGCCUUUACUUAACCCGUCUCUGAUCCAAGGGCCGAGAUUUUUCUUCAUGUCCAUAUUGCUCCCUUUGGCUGGAUAUAUUCUGGAAUGUUGACCUAUGAAUUAUGGCGCAGUUAAUAGGUCAUAUCUUCUAGUAAUACGGUUAUGAGUCCCAAUAUUUGUCCAUCAUCUUCCUGCUGCUGGUCUCCGUAAACUUACUGAGGUUGAGAGUGAACCUUUUCCUACAAUUCUUAGGCAAGUGACUCUGAAGAUUCAAUAUAAUUCUUAGAAAGAUAUGAAUUAGUGCUGUUUGAUUUUUGUUGGUGGUGGUCUAUGGCUACAGCCAUUUUACUGUUGAUUCUGUUGAUAUUCAUAUUGCAGCUCUCCCCAUCCAUAACCAUUUAUUAUACAAGAAUCCCAGUGCUUGUCUUAAUCUUGAAGGCCAAAAGUUGACUACUUAACCUUUGAACCCAAAAUCGCGGGCAGUGUCAUAUAAUUGUUCAUACUUUAGGUUUGACCUAAUGAUUUCUUCCCAUCAGAUUCAAGUUCUCUAUUCUUGUGUUUUCCUUUCUGUGCAGUUAAAGUUAUUUUGUCUUUGCCAUUUCUUCGCCAUUUCUUCUCAUUUUCUUUGGGCAGUUUGCUUUGCUUGAUCAUAAACAAAAAGCUGGAACUCAUCUGGAUGCUUAGAAGAUGGGAAAGGAUGAAAUUUUCGAUGAAUUUCCCAUCUUCUCAGAAAACCAGAGGACAAUUUUUUCACUUACAAAAGGAAAGGUAGAAGUAUCAGCAUGGGUUUUGUUUCCCUUCUGCUGUUUAACACUGGCAUGCUGCUCAUUUGAGGUCAAAUUUUGACAGCAGAACAACUCAGCCGUUGGUGAUUGAUUCAGAGCCCAUGAGCACCACCUAGAACAGUUCGUGAUCUUGACUUCAAAUUGGCCAUAUAUCCAAUUCUCGCAGAGAUGGGCGGCUGCACUUUCAAUUGUUUGUUACAUAGCUGUUUUUAUAGCAAGAGAAGAUGUUGCACCACUUGCAGGACCAUGGAUUGAUAUUGUGAAUGAGUGCAGGAAGCUCUAUCUGACUGAAGCCCCCGGGAUAUUUAUGACACUCCACAUCAUGGCUUUUGAGAUGCUGGAGUUACAAUUCUCUUUAAGAAUGUUGUAUCAUUCGCCUUUUUGCCUGAAAAUACAAUUAGAUCAAAUAUCAUGAACCCUUAUAUUUUGUUUACAAUUUUGGCAUUGUACGACUUCAGGUAUGUCUCCUGUAACACACAAUCUGAGCAUCCACAUGAAUGAUAGUGAGUAUUAGUGAAAUUGUGUAAUUUAUAAUGUUUUCAGAACCAAGAAUUGAAAAAGUUUAUGAUUCAUUAUUCGGAUCCGUGAUUGAAUUAUAGUUGAAUCGGUGUUGUCAUAAUUAUAUCAUUUUUAUAUUUGAUAUAUUAAAUUAACUUAUAUAGAUAAACAUAAAUAUAUUAAUAUUUUAAAAUUUAUUAAAUAGAAAAUGUAUAAUAUUUAAGUAUGAAGAUAUGUUUAAGAUAAAAAAAAUCAUAGAAUUUGAUUUGACUUUUUUGUCUUUGUAUUUUAUUAUUUUAAUAUUAUUUUCAUAAUUAUUAUUAUAAAAAUAAACAUGAAUGUAAAUAUUUGUAUUUGUUCAAAGUUUCAGGGCAUAUGAAGAAACCCAUUAAACUUUAAAAUGAGACGUUUCUGAUUUCUGCUAUCUCAUAUUUGUACCAAAAUGAUGUCGUUUCAACCUUUUUGAAGCAUUUUUAUUUUCUUUUUCAAGCUUGAGACAUUUUCUUCGUUUGGUUGUUGAGAAAAAUGGACCCAUUUCCAUCCAGUGUUUUGUUUGGUUCCAUUCUUUUCCCGAGAACCGAACGGAGAAAAGACGAUAGCUUUACCGGGUCCGGCGAACCUGAUAACGGAAGGCGGCGGGGGGCGAGCGUAAACGAUGACGAGUUUGAAAGGCUUGGUUUUGGGGGGUGAGAAGAAAUGAUCGAGAGUCCAUUCGAGAGCGUAGAAGCUGUGAGAGUUGUUGUCGAUGCCGAUCACUAGCACAGGUCUCUCUGUGGUCUCCAUGGAAGAAAGCAAAAAUGCUUGAAAAGGACCCGUUCCCAAAAACGACGGCGAACGCUGAUCGUCUCCAGGAGACUGGUUUCCGUAUUUUAAGUUGUGCCCCCCAUGAUGUUUGGUAAGUUUCCGAAUAUAUGGGGAGGUUGUAGGAUUUGAUUAGGAUUUAGUAACUUUUCAAAUUGAAAGACUCAUCCCCCAAGUUUCCGAAUAUAUGGGGAGGUUGAAGGAUUUGAUUAGGAUUUCGUAACUUUCCAAAUUGAAAGACUCGUCUCUCAGGGACCUCAUCUCUAUAUAAGCUCUCUCCUACCAUACCCAAAAGAACAAGAAACCAUUUGUAACUUUUCCAAAUUGAAAGACUUCUCUCUGGGCCAUCAUCUUGCCAUACCAAGAAGAGCAAGAAACCACUUCCUUCCUAACCAAGAUCAAGAAACCCCCGAAGCUAUAUACUUUGCGCAUUCGCUUCAAUGGAUUCUGUGGUAAAAGAUGAGAAGAAACACGAUCAGCGUCUUGAAGAAACGAUGAAGAUAUUUGAAGAUGGAGGUGAUCAACGUCUUCAAAAAAAGAAUCAAGAUCAAGAAGCGGCUACCACGAUGCCAUGAUGAUGACGAUGAUGAUGAUGAUGAGGGGGGUGUGUUCAGGAGAAAAAGAAGCAUAGAUGAUCAGUGUCUUCAAAAAACGAUCAAGAUCAAGAAGCGGCCACCAUGGUGCCAUGACAAUGACGACGACGAUGAUGAUGAGGGGGGGUGUGUUCAGGAGAAAAAAAAGCUAAGGAUGAAUAAGAUAAUGGAUAAGGCAAGGUACUCGUCUCCCCAUGCAACGCUAGAGCUCCUUGUCAUCCUCAGGAAUCGGAUCAGGGCUCUGGGGGGUUCUGAUGUCACUUUUGUAAUCCAGAAGCCUCUCUUCAAGACUGAUGUGAGUUCCGGUCACAACCGUCUGUCCAUACCGUUGAACCAUAUACAACAAAGUUUCCUCACACCUGAAGAGAGCGAGAGGUUGAACUCGGGAGGAAACGGAAAAAAAAUGUGCAGAUAUGAAAGUGAUGUUGAUUGAGCCCUCCCUUCAUCGGGAAACCAUCAAUCUGAGGAAGUGGAACAUGAAGAAAGCUUCCGGAAAUUCUAUCUCAAUGUAUGUGUUGGUGACUAAUCGGAAAUCGGUUACGGAAAGGAAUAGCAUGAAGGAAGAUGAAACGGUGCAGCUCUGGUCUUUUCGAAUCAAGUCCAAGUUGGGUUUCGCUCUUGUAAAGAGAAGACUACAAGAUGAUCCUAGGAAUCGUUCAUUAAGGGGCAUCCUGGAUAGCUGAUAUGGAUAUCAGGGACAGGGUGGGUGUAUUUACUAUUUAGUAGAAGAUGAUAAACCUCCCUGGAUAAUAAUUGUCAAAUAUCAUGAACCCUUAUAUUUUGUUUUUCUGCAUCAUGACCCUUCCUAACGUCACUGACCGGGCUAAAUUUUGUUUACAAUUUUGGCAUUGUACGACUUCAGGUGUGUCUCUUGUAACACAGAAUCUGAGCAUCCACUAAUGAUAGUGACUAUUAGUGCAAUUGUGUAAUUUAUAAUGUUUUCAGAACCAAGAAUUGAAAAAGUUCAUGAUUCAUUAUUCGGAUCCGGGAUUG
rnacentral:lncRNA from 1 species